CCCUUAGACGUUCUGGGCCGCACGCGCGCUACACUGACCAGUGCAACAAGCAUCCGUCCUUGGCCGACAGGCCCGGGCAAUCUUUGAACGCUGGUCGUGAUGGGGAUAGACUUUUGCAAUUUUUGGUCUUCAACGAGGAAUUCCUAGUAAACGCAAGUCAUCAACUUGCAUUGAUUACGUCCCUGCCCUUUGUACACACCGCCCGUCGCACCUACCGAUUGAGUGAUCCGGUGAAUAAUUCGGACUGCAGCACUGCUUGGUCUCCAGGCUUUGCAGCGGAAAGUUUAGUGAACCUUAUCACUUAGAGGAAGGAGAAGUCGUAACA
rnacentral:rRNA from 1 species